ACUGGGCAGAGGGAUCCUUCUCUCAUCACUGGAUCAUAGAAUUGUCAGGGCUGGAUCCUUGAGGAUCCUCAAGGAUCAUCUAGUUCCAGCCCCACCUUCCAUGGAUGGAAACUACAGGACAGGAACUUCCCUCUCAACAUGAGGAAGAACUUCUUUACUGUCAGAGGACUGGAACAGACUUCCCAGAAAGAUUGUGGGGUCUCCUCUGGAGAUUUUCAAGACCCACCUGGAUGUCUUCCUGUGGUCCUGCUCUGGCAGAGGGGUUGGACUCGAAGAGGCCCCUACCAGCCCCCUAACAUCUGUGAAGUGUUAUUACUAGAUGAAAGCAUCACAUUUGUGUUAUGUAUGUCACUCUGUGGCUUGGGUGUAACAUGAUUCAUGCUGUGAGAUGUUAGUCCUAGAAAAGGAUGACUUAGAUCCUUCAGACCACCUCCUGCCUGUGCUGGUCUCUUCCUGAUAAGCAGUUUUCUUAUAACUAGCUUGAGAAGGGUGGGGGGAAGAGUGAUUGUGUUAGAAGCAGUAGGGAAAUUAGCAGAGAGACUUGUUCUAUGGACUGAUAAAUCUGUAAUGAAGCUUUCCUAUAUAUUUAUUAUAAAUAUUUAUUUUUGAA